AUCCUGGCUCAGGAUGAAUGCUAGCGGCGUGCCUAAGGUAUGCAAGUCAACCGUGAAUCUUCGGAUUUACGGGGCAGACGGCUGAGUAACGCGUAAGUAACCUACCUUUAACUUGAGAACAAUCCUGUGAAAACGGGACUAAUGCUCGAUAGUCUCCUGUACCAUAAGGUACUUGAGUAAAGCUUUUGUGGUUAAAGAAGGGCUUGCGUCCUAUCAGGUUGUUGGUGGGGUAAAAGCCUACCAAGCCUAUGACGGGUAGCUGGUCUGAGAGGAUGGUCAGCCAGACUGGGACUGAAACACGGCCCAGACUCCUACGGGAGGCAGCAAUUAGGAAUCUUGCGCAAUGGGGGGAACCCUGACGCAGCGACGCCGCGUGGUGGAUGAAUGCCUUCGGGUUGUAAACACCUUUUAUAGGGGAUCAACACUGAGAGUACCCUAUGAAUAAGUGCCCGCUAACUAUGUGCCAGAAGCGUCGGUGAUACAUAGGGCACAAGCAUUAUCCGGAAUUACUGGGCAUAAAGGGAUGCGCAGGCGUUCUUAUAAGUUAUGUGUUAAAUAUCUUUGCUCAACAAGGAAAUUGCAUGUAAUACUGUGAGAAUUGAGACAGAAAGGGGAGAGGGGAAUUCCUGGUGGAGUGGUGAAAUGCGUUGAUAUCAGGAGGAACACCAAUGGCGAAAGCACCUCUCUGGUUCUGUUCUGACGCUGAGGCUCGAAAGCGUGGGUAGCAAAACGGAUUAGAUACCCGUGUAGUCCACGCCGUAAACGAUCUUUGCUAGAUGUUUGUUCUGAACUUUACGGUUUAACUUUUGUUAGAUUGUAUGUUUAGAAUGAGUGUCGCAGUUAAUGCGUUAAGCAAAGCGCCUGGGGAGUACGGUCGCAAGGCUAAAACUCAAAGGAAUUGACGGGGACCCGCACAAGCGGUGGAGCGUGUGGUUUAAUUCGAUGCAAAACGAUGAACCUCACCAAGGCUUGACAUGUAGCUGCAAGUCCCAAGAAAUUGGGAUUCCUUCGAGGGUGCUACACAGGUGCUGCAUGGCUGUCGUCAGCUCGUGUCGUGAGAUGUUGGGUUAAGUCCCUUAACGAGCGCAACCCCUGUCCUUAGUUAUAAGUCUCUAGGGAGACUGCCCUGCCAAAACGGGGAGGAAGGUGGGGAUGACGUCUAGUCCUCAUAGCCCUUAUGUCUUGGGCGACACACGCGCUACAAUGGAGAGUACAAUGGGUAGCCAAGUCGUGAGGCGGAGCUAAUCCCUUAAAACUCUUCUCAGUUCGGAUUGUAGGCUGAAAUUCGCCUACAUGAAGUCGGAAUCGCUAGUAAUCGUGGAUCAGCAUGCUACGGUGAAUACGUUCUCGGGUC
rnacentral:rRNA from 1 species